UCCUUUGUGGAGUAAUGGUUAGCACAUUCGGCACAUAUUCGAAAGGUCCAGGUUCGAGUCCCGGCGAAGGCA
rnacentral:tRNA from 1 species